rnacentral:tRNA from 1 species
GCCCCCGUAGCUCAGUGGAUAGAGCACCGGAUUCCUAAUCCGGGUGCCGCAGGUUCAAUUCCUGCCGGGGGCACCA